rnacentral:tRNA from 1 species
UGGUGGGUAGCCAAGUGGUAAGGCGCUUAUCCUUAUUCACCUUUUGCCUGCAAAGGCCGACGAAUUGAGGGUUAUCGAUUUAGGUUCGAGCGAUCGCGGGUUCGAUUCCCGCUCCACCAC